GGCUGGUCUGAAGGUAGUGAGUUAUCUCAACUGAUUGUUCACAGUCAGUUGCAGAUCGAACUCCUUGUUCUACUCUUUCCCCCCUUCUCACUACUGCACUUGACUAGUCUUAA
rnacentral:Y_RNA from 1 species